CUUUGUAACAAUAUCUAACAAUGAAGGUGUUUGUUUUUAUUAUAACCUUGCCACACACAAACUUCAGAUUUUAUGUGAGAUUUUCAGUUGAAGACAAAUGUCACUGUUAGAAACACACACACACAAAAAAGUCAGCUUGGAUAGGACUUCAUCCAAGCUGACUUCACCCAGAAGUGUCCUCCUAGUCACAAAAUACUCAGAUUUUCUUAUUCUCAUAUGGUUGUUAAACUAGAUAAGAGUUAAUAAACAAAACAGAUGCUGUGCACUAAGUACACAAACCAAACACAUGUAUCACCCUGACAUCCAUUUCUCUGUUUGGGGUCUGGCUGAUGUAACAUUUUCAGCUAUCAAGAGUAUUCCAUGGUUACUUACCAGCACAGGUUGCAUUGUCUAACAAGAUAGAUUUUCUUCUCCAGUGGGCUGCCUCAAGACCUUGACAAGUUUGAUUUAGGUAGUACAGCUGCUUUACAGGCCAAGGUGAUGUGACGGCAUGCUACAGUUGCUUCAGUUUGAGUGUGCCACUACAGUAAAACGGUUCCACCUGCCCACCUUUCAUAGAGUUAUACAAAUGUGCUUCAGUCACUGUGUGUUAUAUCUAUAUCUAUACUUAGGAAAAACACAUUCUUAUGUUAUAAAUGCAGUUUCAUACUGGUAUAACUAAUAAUAGAUUAUUAUUUGCCACAGAUUUUGCUGUAUUUCAGGAAAGCUCAUAUGCUUUCUUUACCUGAUGUAACGGAGAUCCAGCGGUAAAUGCAUAAAAUGAAUUUCACAUUUGUGUACCAAGUUUUUGUAUGAAAAUAACCAGUGAAAGCUCCUUGGGAGUGGACUACAGUACAGAUUGUUUUAUACCAGGGCACUGUCGUUUAGCACUACUGUCUCAAAAGUCCACUUUUACUGCUAUUAUUUAUGUAGAUAGAAAAAAUUGCAGAAUAUGUGAGUAAAAUGAUGCAUUGUAAAAUAUUCUUGUACAAGAUUAAUAAGGAAAAAAAUGGAGAUAAGUCAGUGAACGCAGCUGCUUAUGCAAAUAUUUGUUCUAUUGACUUCCAGGAAAUUAGUGUGAAAAAUUAUCCAUGACUGCAUGUGCUGUUCUGUGCUAACUGCAAGGUGUAUUUCACAUCAAUUUUGGGAGAAGUUUUAAAGCUAAUCAAUGAUGUCAUCUUAAUAAAAAGUCCAUCUUCUUCUUCUUAAUUUGUGACAGAGUAAGAAAGGAUUCUGUUCAUUCUAAUUAACAGUCAUCUAUGGGUCUUACAUAAAAAGCUCCACUAAGUCAGCCAUAGUUUUAAGGUCCUGAAAACUUAGAAACAUCAGAAGACAUAGAAGUUUACUUGUGAUACAGUUAAUUCCAAGACACUAAUCACCCACCAAUAUGGUUUCAGAUAGCAAAUUGUUUUCUAUGUAAUAGGAAGAAAAAAUAGCAUUGAGUAUCAAAACCACAUUUUAAAAAAACCUGUAUAUUUUGUACAGGUUGACCCCAUCUAUUGUACAGUUUGAUCUCUAAAAUAAAUGAAUACAUUAUAAUUCUCAGUACUUAAAACAGUGAAAUAUAUUAUUUUACAAAAUUAUACUAAAAUGUUCUUAAUUGUACUUCUUUGCAGUCAAGGUAAAUAUUCAUUGAAUUGUUUUUCUUUUAAAUAUUCAUUUCAUUGUUUUCUUUUUAAAAUGGACCUGUCAAGUUUUUUUUAAAUGCCAUUCUUUCAAGAAAUAAUAGAUGGUAACAACACUUAUUGCCCUAAACAAGUUGGUUUUUGCAUUAUAAAUGCAUGGCGUGCACAUUGCAAAAAUUGUAAUGAAUAGAAUCCAUGUGCCAGUUUUAAAACUCUUGAUUUCUGGAGUCUCAUUAUAAAAUUGACAGUCUGCAUUGCUGAAAUGAUGAUCAGAUAGUGGAGUGAAUGGCAUAGUGAUAGUAUUUGUCACUUCAUACGUCAUGCUGGCACAGCUUCACUUGCCAGAGAGGGGAAGCAAUUUUCAAGGCUAUAUAGAAGCAGAGUCAGAAGAAAGCACUGAGUGAGUAAGAGCAUUGUCACUUGCUGGAGCUGAUUCCACAGAGAUGCAACAGAAGGGACAGGCUCCUGGAAAAGUAACAGAUAAGGAAAUUUGCACUGCUGGACUACUUUGUCUUGUGGACUUGUUGCAUGUAUUCAAGAGCCAUUCUAACCAAAAGACUUAGAUGAUCUAGAGUGGCAACCUUUAUCAGAAAAUGAAGUUGCACCAUGGAUCUGUUCUGUUAUUUUUUUACUGUGAAGCUCAUCUUACAUUGUUUGAAGUUCUUCAAUCUUUUUAUGAAUAAAUGAAGAACCUUUGGAAGUAUAACAUAAAUGACCUCACCUCAGAGAAUAUAGGGAACAUUCUUCUAGCUCCCUGAGGUCCUCAGCCUCCAUUCAGAAUAAUGGUACUGUGGCCAUAAGAUUGAAGAUAUUCCGUACUGCAUAUGCUUCAUUCAGUCUACAGUGCAGCAAUAACUAGUCCAUUAUACUUGAAUUUGUGCUGAUUUCCAAAACUGAGUAACACUGUCAGUGAAAGUAUAUGAGUAAAACUAAUCACAGUGGCAGUGAUAGCUCCAAAGGAAUGGAUGUAAAAACCUUGUCAGCAAGAGCUUCAGGUUUGAAGAGUCUGUGCCUCGCUGCAACCAGGGAUCCUGGUUGCAGCCAGGACUGAGAUGAGCUUCUGGAAUUUACUAAAGGAAUCACCGUACCAUUAAAAUUAAUGUUAUGAAUAUAUAUGAGUGCACUAUGUAAAAGACUUGACAUUUUAUCAGAAGAAUAUCAUGAGAAGGAAGAAUAUGGGACAAUUAGGAAGAGAAGUCUUAGAAAGCUUUUCAUGUUGUAUUGUAUUGACUUGCAGAAGGACUAAAUAAGGUUACCAACACUGAACAUCAUUGUUUUCUGUACAACCUACUCAGUGCGUUUCCUUUCUUUUGUGGAAAAAAAAAAAAAAAAAACAAAAACCUUUUUUUUUUUUUUUUUUUCCAAAAUAUAACCUGAAUUUUUAUAAUCCUAUUGAACUUCAGGUAAUGACCUGAGAAUGGAAGAAGAUGAAGUUGUUUUGGGAAAAAAAACAUACACGUCUUGUACAAGCUCUAUCUUGUAUGACGAAGAACUCUAUAUUAUAAUGUGUAUUUUUAGGGUUCACAAUGACAUAGCUCAUCUGUAGAUGCAUUUUAUCAAGGUAGGAAAAAAAAAUUAUUUCCAGAUUGUUACCAAAAUUACAGCACCUGGCUAAAAUUAAAGACAUGUCUAAAGAAUAAAGACUAUAUUAGUAUCUAUUUGAAGUAAUCCUCUCUUGUCUGUAUACAAACCAAAGUACAAAAGGAACCUAAACUAAUCAUCACAGCAAAAACAGAACAAUAUUUGAAUGCUGAACAGAAAAAUAAGUCCAGUGUAUUCUGAAGUUUUCUGUUCUACUAGAAAUAUAGAUGUAUUUUGUGACCUCCAUGCAGUUAUUAGAACCCUAGUUCUAAUUAACUCCCAGUUAAAUAAAGGAUAUCUCAUGUUACCCAUCUUACUAUAUUGUCCUAUGAAGUUAGAAAAGGUUCACAGGUAACUUUCACAGACUAAUUACUGUUUAAAAAGGCAAUCAACAUCUGCCACUCUGUUGUUAGCUAAUUACAUUUUUCCAGUCAUUAGUGUUGCUCAUUGAGACCUGACUGAAUGCCCUUUAAAACCAUUAAGCCUUUUAAAAUUCUUUUUAAGUUGAUUUUGUUUCUGUAGGUAAGAUGCUAACAUUCAUUUGGAGAUGUUAAGGGAAAUGAUUCCCCCAAUAGAUUUUCUGAUCUAUGUGGUUGUUAGACAAAUGAUGAGCUUCGCUCAAGAAUGUGCUCAUGUCUUCUACUGUAGACUUGCUGUAUGCGGUAUAUUUCCUCAAAAGCGAUGGAGUCUAGAGUUGAACUUUGGUUCCCAGUACAAUUACAGGAAAUAUUUUCUGAGACUUCAUGAUUGAGCCAUUUAUUCUAUAACUUGGUAGAACAUUUUAAAAUUAAAAUGAAUCUAAGUAAUGCAAAUCUGGAAUAAAGUUUUCGUUCUCAGUUGGAAGCAAUCUCCAGUAAUUGCAUAAUAAAAGCAGAUUUCCUAAUUUCUGCUAAAAGCAUAUCACUUUUCAAGGUUUGUUUGUUUCGAUAGGUUUUUGGUUGUUUGGUUUUGUUUUGUUGAGUUUUUUGCAUGUAUAAAACAUAGUAAGAAGCUCUCUUUAAUACUCAUUGAAAUAUAUAAAUGCUUUCUUUUCUAAAACAAUUAUCUUUGAAAUUUAGGAUGUUUUACUGUAGAAUAACAAGAUUUCUUGAGAAAGCAUUUUUCAAGCUUCAGGCUUGUACAUCAGAAGAAAGUUUUGUAGGAACAAGAUCACACCUGUGCUAUAUCAAUGUAGGACACAUAUUCAUACAUCAAAAAGAAAAAGAAAGAAAGGAGUUGAAUAGUUGAUUCUGUAAAUCCUGUGUGUUCCCAAAGAAGUUUUCAAGAUACCGUAUAGAAAUGGUGAAAACUUUCUGAUAUCUUUUAGCGAUGUAUAUAUGAAUGUGAAAAUAGGAUAAUGGAAAUGCUUCAGUGGUCUAAUAAGAGUAGAAUUAAUUUUGAAGACAUUUUUCAUUUCUCCUUAUUGCUUCUGUACACUUUCAAUUCAGCUGAGGCAUAGUUUCUUCUUAUUAAGUGUUUCAUAUGGUGUUUUUAUGAAGUGUGAGAAUACCUGUUUAUGUCAGGUCUAGCACUGUUCUUGUUGUACUGGAUGUGUUAGCUGGAUGACAUGAUGAUGAACUACUGAACUGCUUGUUUAUGUCAUUCUCAGUUUCUUUUCUUUCCUUUUGCAGAGUAAAUAGAACAAAAUUCAACAUCAUUUGCUUUUUUUUUUUCCUUUUUUUUUUUUUUUUUUUUUUGCAUUUGUUGCAACUGGGCAAUCUUUAAUGUCCCUUGCCAACCAAAGACAUUGUAUGAUUUUCUAUACUCACUCAUUACUCCAUAUUCACUCCAUAUUCAUUGCUUAGGUAGUAACUCAUUUUAUUUCUUCUUGAACUUAUAACAGCCCUGUAGAAUCAUUUGAAAAAUUCAGUGGAAAAGUCUUUCACAAACAGCUUCUUUUUCCUUUUUUCCUUCUUUUCCAUCCUCUUCUUCCCAAAACAGAGCUGAAAAGAUAAUUAAGGACACUCUCAUUCAAAUGAAAUUUCACUUUUCAGGUAGUAUUACUUCAGUUUAAUAUCAUCACAGCAUUUAAAACAAUUGGCUUUUUUUUUCCUUUAUUCUAUAUGGUAUUUUGAAUGUUAUGCAAGUUUUUAAUGUAUGUAUUAGAUUUUACGAUAUAGUAAUACGAACAACUGGGAAGAAUACUCUAUUAGGAUAGACUCCAGUUAAGCAAAGUAGCAUUAUGACAGAUAAUUCAAUCCUGCUGAUCUUAUUCAGGUUUCACUCACUCAAAAUCCAUGCUGAUAUCAAGAAAUGUAAUAUGAACUUCUUAAUUUGAUCUGCAGUUAAUUUUUUAUAAUUUAUUUUCAAACAGAAGAUAUAUCUGUUAAAGAUUGAAUUGAGUUAUUCCAACCACUGCCUUGCUUAGCAGGUGGUGUGAAAUAGCCUUGUCUCAGGAAGAGCAAUUCAAGAUAUUGCAUCUUUUCACAGUGCUGAGAAGCCUAUGACCUGGUAGACCUUUGCCCACUUUGUUUUCCUGCUUGUAAUUGUAGCUGUCACUGUGAAGUAGUGUUUGCAGUUCACUGUCAGAGACACUUGUCCCGAAUGCCCCCUUUCACUCCCAUGCAGGUGGAUGCAACUUUAGAGAAGCCCUCUCUAUAUAGUCCAGGCUAAAAAUGCUGUACUGGAAGAAUGGAAGUGUUGCAAUACCACUAGCCAGAUGAACUUUUUUUGGCACCAGCACUACUUUUAUCAUGCACAAGAAAAAUACUUAGUUAAAGAUAUUUACCUGGCAUUCUCAUUGAUUCCAGACCUCAAACUGGAAACUAAGUUCCUCUAUUUCUGGCAGCUACCACUUUAUUUUCAUAGAGUAAGAACUGGCAAAUAACUUUCUGAAGGAAGCACAAGGCUUUUUAUUACAUGGUUUUCAAUUGUAGUGUUGCUGAACUUUUGCAGAUAUAAGCCAACACAGACUCUGCACUGGGUUAUAGAGCUCUGUGGACUGUUCUUAAGGGACUCUGGUGCUAUUUGAAAGAAAGGAAUGUGGCUAUCUAUGAUUGUAACAACUACAAUACUGCAUAGCUCUUAUAAAGAUUGAAUAGCACCUACAGAACUGAAAGGAACUGCUGGGAAGAACUCAAAAUACUUGCUAAAGGAAGCAAGCAUUUCAACCUCUGCCUUGAUAAUGGAGAGUUAGAUAAGAAGUGAAGCUGAAUGAUUUGGUUUAAGUCACUCAGCAGGUAAAAGAUAAUAAAAUGUAAUGGGCAAAACAGCAGUUGAGGGUGGAAGAUGCACCAGGAAAUGAAACACAGGAUGUAUUCUGAGCUGCCAUUUGUUUUGAGACCUGAACUCUCUAAUUUGUGGUAGAGAAAUACCACCAUCAUUACUGGAAUCCCACUCAGUUUUUCUAGGCAAUGGAAUGAAACAGCUAGACUAGUGUGUGCAUGCUGUGCACAUAUAAACAUUCUAGACUUGAAUUGAAGAAGCUUGUUACUAUCCUCUUUUGUCCAUUAUAGCUGUACUUUGCUAUAUCUGCAUUACCUCUUGCCGUGGUAAGUUAUGAUGUUUUAUGUUUGAUGAACAAGACAUAUGUAUCAUAAAACCAACAAGGACUUGAGUCUCCUGAUAGCAUCCAAUGCCUUCACUAUAUAGCAUUGAACACAACAGCAAUGGACCCUAAAAACUAUUAAACUUUAUAGCGCAGGCAAUUCUAGAAAUAGCAACAGUUUUAUUUUAUACCACUUUAUGGAUAAUUCUGAGGUAAUUAGGUAUUUUUUUGUCUAUUUUGAAAGUUUUCUUAACUAGCUUGAUCAAGGUAAGAAACUUUACUUUGUAAUGCAGAGUCAACAAAAAAAAAAAAACCACCAACAACAAAAAAAACUGUAGGAAUAUAAUCAAUGAUCUACAAAAUAUAUGCCUUUUAUAUAUGACAUCGUUUUUAUUUUCAAAAAAAAAAAAAAACCUAGUCCAUGAUAAAAACGACUUCAAAUGUAUACUGGGAAAAAAAAAAAAAAAAAAAAAAGGUUUUGCUGUCCCUUAGUUCAUAUUUACAUGACUUCAGAGUGCUUGGCUUACUUUAACUAUUUUGCUGUCCUGAUAGGUUUACCUACUUAAUACUUGUCAUUAUAGAAAAGUAUCUCCAAGUUCAUGGAUGGUUUUAUACAAUUUCCAAGUUGCGUGUUCCUGCAAUUAGUAGCAUGAGUUUAAUUUUGGUAGGGAAUAUGUCUCAAAAAUUGUUUUUGCAGCCUUUAUGAAAAUCUGUUUGUUUGGGAGAAAAUAAUGAGACAUCCAAAAAGUUACCUUUUGCCAACUCAGCUUUGUCAAUUUCCUACAAGAUGUACUAAAAUAUCUCUGUUACCCUAACCCACUGAUUGGAAUUCAUUUUCUUCUUAUGAGAAGUUACUUUAGUGUGGCAGCUAGGGAACUAUGAGGCGGAAUCAUCAACUAGCUUCAAGUACCUAGCUUUGGCCAUCAUAGGCGCCUAGGGUACCAAUAUAUUCAGUGGUGUGAUCUUUGCUUACAGAAAAGAAAUCAGAGUACCUAACAGUCUUCACAUGUACCUUAUUUUCUCCGUUGGGUGGUUGAAGAGACUAAUGUAUCUAAAAAAUACCUCCUUAUUCCACCUAAAUAUUCAAAUUAUCUCUUAAUCCACUGAUUUUAUUAGGAACUGAUUUUAGCUGGUUUCUCAUAGACCAGAGUAUGCUAAUAUUAUCAAGAAAUUAAACACAAACCAAAACUUUCUUAUAGACCUCAGUUCUCCCCUAAUUAGUUUACUCGAGGUUAAUAUAAUCAGUGCUCUGCCAUAGCUGCAUAAAGACAGUGUUGGUGUUAAUGUGGAGAAAAAGUACUGAAGGUAGCACUUCACAAAUAGUUGGAUUGUAAAAAGAAGUUAUAUGAGAAAGGUGAGAUGAUAGAAUGAUACCAUAUAAUUUCCAUAAAAUAACAUCACAUACAUUGAAAACUAGAAAUGACAGCAUUUAGUUUAUUCCUUGUCCUCAUUCUUGCUCUAUUGUGCACAUUUAUUAAUUUAGUCACCCUAAGGAGAUGAUCACAUGCUCUUCCAUUCUACUCAUGAUUCUUUCAGGACACUGGAAAUGUGUCAGAACUGUAUAGCAAAUUAAGUUAAUUUAUGUUAUUGCUUUAUCACAGAAUCAUACAGAAUGGCUUGGGUUGAAAGGAACCUCAAAGAUCACCUAGUUCCAAAUCCCCUGCUGCACCCCCCAUAUCCAGUUGACCAGGGCUCCAUCCAGUGUGGCCUUAAACAUCUCCAGGGAUGGGGCAUCCACAACUCUCUGGGCAGCCUGUUCCAGCACCUCACCACCCUCCCUGUGAAAAAGUUCCCCCAGCAUCUAAUCUAAAUCUUCCCAGCUUUGGUUUAAAACCAUUUCCUUUUCUCCUAUCACUCUCUACCUAUUUAAAAAGUUUAUUUCUCUCCUAUUUAUAAGCUGCCUUAAAUACUGGAAGGCCAUAAUGAGGUCUCCCUGGAGCCUUUUCUUUUCCAGGCUGAACAAGCCCAGUUCCCUCAACCUAUCUUCAUAGGAGAGGUUCUCCAGCCUUCUGUUAAUAUUAGUGGCACUCCUCUUGACCAUCUUCAACAGCUCCGCACCUUUCUUGUGCUGGGAGCCCCAGACCUGAACACAGUAUUCCAAAUGGGACCUCACAAUGGCAGAGGACAAGGGGACAGUCACCUCCCUCUCCCUGCUAGCCACCACUCUUUUGGUGCAGAUGUUGUUGGCCUUCCAGGCCACAAGCACAUACUGCCAUCUCACGUUAUGUUUUUCAUCUACCAGAACCCCUCCAAGUCCUUUUCCAUAUGUAUACAUAUCUGGGAUUUUCUCAAUCCAAGUGCAGCACCUUGCACUUGGUCUUGUUGAACAUCACUUGGCUCACAUGGGCCCACCUUUCAGGUUUGUCCAGAUCUCUUUGGUUGGCAUCCUUUCUUCUGUCCUAUCAAUUAUGCCACUCAACUCAGUGUCAUCAUGGCGACUGAUGAUGCACUCAAUCCCAUCAUCUAUGUAAUUGAUGAAGGUGUUAAAGAAUACUUGUCCCAAGAUGGACCCAGGGGGGAUACUACUUGUCACUGGCCUUUAUCUGGACAUAGAGCCAUUGACCACAUCCCUCUGACUGCAACCUUCCAACCAUUUUCUUAUCCACCAAAUAUUCCACCCUUCAAACCCAUAUCCCUCUGAUUUAGAGAUAAGGAUGUGGCAUGGGACCGUGUCAAAAAUCCAUCUCAUAGCUUGCAGAAUUUGGAAGGCCGUGUCUUUCUAGAGCUGUCCAUCAUCCAGACUAACCUCUUAUUACAGAGAUGUGUGAAUCUAUAUAAGAAGUUUAAGAUAAAUAUUAAUGUGAUAAAUUCUUUGUUCUUCAUUGAGUAUGUGGCUAACUUAGUCUUUAUUUUCAGAACUUUGGAGCUCUUAGGGAAGUACUGUACAUUUUGAAUGGUGCUCAAGGGCCUGAAUGUGUUCAGCAUCAUUUGAAAUAAAUCAGUGGGAUCUGGAACACUGAGCUUCAGACUGGGAGUCUCCCAAAGCCCUGAAUUAUGAAUUAUGAACCCAGCAUUAGCACCCCCUCCAGCAUUUGUCAGCUCUUAGACUCGCAGCGAUCUUCCAGCCUAUCAGGUACAGAGUACUUCAUUAUGUGCACGAACAGAAAUGCUUAAAUGGAUGAAGCAGCUAUUUAUGUAUGAUAGGAGCUAAGUGGGACAUUAAAUUAAUGCCAAACAAGGAUUUGAUGUCCUCUGAGUGAAUCACAUAGAAUCAUAGAAUGGCCUGGGUUGAAAAGGAACACAAUGACCAUCGAAUUUCAACCCCCCUGCUAUAUGCAGGGUCACCAACCACCAGAUCAGGCUGCCCAGAGCCACAUCCAGCCUGGCCUUGAAUGCCUCCAGGGACGAGGCAUCCACAACCUCCUUGGGCAACCUGUUCCAGUGUAUCACCACCCUCUGUGUGAAAAAAUUCCUCCUAAUAUCUAACCUAAGCCUCCCCUGUCUCAGUUUAAGACCAUUCCUCCUUGUCCUAUCACUAUUCACCCUCGUAAACAACUGUUCCCCCUCCUGUUUAUACACUCCCUUCAAGUAUUGGAAGGCCACAAUGAGGUCUCCCUGCAGCCUUCUCUUCUCCAAGCAAACAUGAAUUUCAGGUUCCAAAAUUUGUAUUCCUUUUGACAAUAAAAGGAAACAAGAAGAUUUGCAGAAAAAAUCUACUUUUUACAGAUGACCCAAAGCCAUAACACAAAUCCUAAUGCUUAAAUUAUGAUAACUCUUCACACCAAGUAAUAUUAGGCUCAGAAGACACUGACAAAGCAGUUUGAUAUCUAGUAGACAGCAAUACCACCCAGAUAAAUUCUUGUAGAUUUAAGAUCGGUUUUUUAUUGCACUAGUGCCAAGAUACUGAUAAAAAUUUCAAUAAUCUGAGAAUUUGUCCCAAUUGAAGGAAGCGUAGCAAAAUCUAGCACAGUAGUAUUUGAUUAACACCACAUACUUGUCAGCUCUACUAACUGUUCUUGCAAGUUUCAUUCACUUGUUUGGAGUUCUGUAGAUGGAACCGACCCCUGUGUUCUGUUUUCCUUCAGUUGCAGGUUAUUUUACAAAUCUCAGGAUCUGGAAGACAGAAAACUUUAUCUUCUAAAUGCCUAUCUGUAUUCCUAGAGUUUUGUCAGCUAAAGGAAAGCUAGUUUUAAUCUUAGGUUUUGAACAUAUUAAUAUUGGUUGGCAAUGUUUUCAGUAAACGAUGAUAUGGUUUAAUAAAGUGGUUGUCUUUUAAAAAGUCCAUUUUUACAAAUAUGAAGUUUAGUUUCUUCCUUUUAGAUAGGAAACGUUUUUAUUGAAUAACAGUGGAUAUGUUAUUUAAUCAAUACAAAUUUGGUAUCAGUCUUUUCCUAAUCAAGAUAAUGAAUUUAUAAUCUUUUUAGUACAAGAAACAUUUUAGAAAUUUAUUUUGUCUCUUGAAAUAGGAGAUAAGUCUAAGAGAUUCAUAUUUGUUUAAUGAUAUACUGCCUUGAUCUAUUAGACACCUUGAAAUAUACUGCAAGUGAUGAAAGAACAGCACAUUUUUUGCUUUGCAAUACACUGAUGCAGAUGUUGAAGAUCAGUAUAUCCAAUGAAGUCGUCAUCCUAAAAGUAUACUCUGGUUUCAGCAUCACCUCUUCUUUUGGGGUGUUUGAAACAAAGAUAUAGAAAGUAAAUUGAACUCAUCUUUAGUUAGCAGGCAUAACAUUUCUGUGUAAUAUUUUUCAUUUGAUCAAUGCAUGUAUAAUAUAUUUUGUUGCUGUUUUAAAAAAAGAAACAUGUCAAUAUUAUCUGAGCUUUUAAGGAAAAGACUAGAUACAUAAAUAAGAUUGUGCACUGGUAGAAGAGAAGAAUAUACCUGAAUUACUUAGGCCAAAGAGGAAUAAAGAGAUACAGAUGAUGAGGAGAAGAGAGAUCACAAGUCAUUAACUAUGGCUUUAUGUUUCAUGUCUCUGUAUAGUGUGUUUAAUCCUAUUAACUGCUCUCCAUUCAUUCUGUUGUUUCCAUGGAAUAGGAUUCUAAAUCUGCUCCAGAUUAAUAUUAUGCAGUUUGAUAACUAUUGUAGCUUUUUUUAGUAGGUAGAAGGUUCAUCAGAGGUGCCUUUGUUUAUUCCUAACACCUGAAGCGAUCACUGAAUUUCACAUCUCUGGGAAGUUAUCAUUCCCGUAGAAGUAAACAGGUGUUUCUAAAGCUUUCUAGUGGAUGACUAAACCAAUGGCUUUUAUCCAGGUUUUGCAGGUCACUAGAUGUUCAAAAUAGCAGAGGAAAUCAAAAGAACUGCCUGUCUUUUGCUAUCACAGUAAUUUUGCACUUGAGCAUACAAGGAUUGGCUAAUAUAAAAAGUACUGAGGAAGACACGGAGUGAUUCUCUUCAAGCUCUGCCUUGGGAAGUAACAGUAAAAGUUACAUUUCAAAUUACAACUUUACUUGAAAUGUGACUUCAUUUAUUUAGUUUUUUAAAACAUUUUCAAUGCCAAGUUUUUGUCCCUUGACAAUGUCAAAUUGGACGCAAUCCACUUCAAGGCAGAAAGAUAAGCUUCUAAUUGUCAGUCUGGUAACCACUCCCUAGAGAUCAAGUGGUAUACUUUUUGCUUUAUGCCUCACCACUAAUAUCGAUACUUUUGCAACCCAGAAAUGCUUUUCCCUUGAGCAUUUACAACCUUCUUCAAAGUCUUCAUACUUUUCCCCUCUUCUGCCAUCUGUCACACAGCAGCAAAAUGUACUGCAGUAUUGGUGGGAAGGUUCAACCUCUACUGCCAUACCACCACCAUCUGCCUCUGAUGUCAUUGCCCAACAUAAUAAAAUAUGAGGCAUUACUUAUGGAAGGAGAAAAGUGUAGAAGAUAGUAGAUAGUAGAUGGUUUUUCUUUGAAAAAUAUGAAGUUAUGAUUCUUAGAUGAUACCAAGGAUGAUCAACUGAAAAUAGGUAUGGAUGUAGUCUGGAUAUUGACAGUGACUACAAAGUAACUACACAUAAUUAAUCUAGAAGUAUCACUUGCUACAAAAGAAGAGAACAGUUCAGACUUCAAAUGAUGAGUUGGAGCGACUCCUGUAAACUCUUGUGCCCAGAUCUGUGCAGAAAGACAAAUGUUAACACAGGAAGCCUCCUUGCCAGGGCAACAGGCUGCACUCUGUAGAGCUUGAACACUGUGCUUACAUGAAGUUAAAGCCUCUAAGCUGAACCUAGCUUUUUGAUUUGUUUGUUUCUUUUUAGCAGUGGUCAAAUAGGGGCUAGUAAGGUAUGCAUCAUUUUCCAAAGUAUUAAAAUAGGCAGUAAAUUAGUAGUGUUUAUGUAAGUAAUCCAGGUGACAACCAUACUCUUACAGGGGUUAAAGUCUAAAGCCAUUCGAUUUUUAAAUGCUGAACAUGUUUUAAGUGCGCUAUUGCUUCAUGCUCUUCUCUAGUAAUAAUGGAUUUGUUGAAAUGAGCAAUUACAUUUAUAAACAGAGAACCUCUCCCACAUGGAGAGAUAUACCCACAAAGUGGUGACCUUUUGGAUAACUAAUGCCAGAACUUGCACUAUAGGAAGACUUAGGAACAUCAGACGUUUGUAACUGUGGCUCUGAAGUGAUAAGGUACCUAUGAGGAAUAACGGUGUCAACAGAGAAAGUUCCUCCCUCGUCUCAGGAAUUUGAUGAAUAACUCUGACUGUAAGCAUAUACGUUCUUUUAUUAUUAUUAUUAAAAAAUGUCUCAUUGCUUUAAAAUGUUUUUAUGUUAAAUGUGCAAAAGAGAGCUUAGCAACAGGCUUUCUCUAUAAGAAAGUGGGUUUUGAUGGGUGGGGUGUCAAGAUGUGCUUUCACCAGAAAUAUGGCUGUUCCCACUGCCCAUAAACACAUCUUUAUGAUAUAUGUGAGAACAGUUUUAGUUCAGUAGUUGCUAAUAAUUUGGCUUUGGGAUUUUUUCAAGUUCAUUUUACGCUUAUAUAAAAAAGAGUGAUUAUCUUUCUCCUAACCUUUCUGGUUUUCCUGAUUUCCAAAUUAAUGAAUAGGAAUAUUAUCAUCAAUAGGGGGCACUGACACUAGCUUCCAUUUUAGACAAUAGAAUUUUUUAAGUGCAUUGAGUGCAGAUUCUAGCAUACCUUUGGGCUAUAAAAUAAUCUAAUAUUCUAAUUGUGCUUCACAGUCAACUGUUUGCUGUUUCUUGGGCAUCCGUUAUGCAUUGAGCAGCUGCUUCUAUUGAGAUGGCCAUGACUGCUUUUAGGUACUUUCCAUUAAUACAAUACAGGGGCAAGAAAUAUGUAUCAGUAUCCAGACUUCUGAAGUACCUGCUUUAACAGCACCUCUGAAAUUUCUUAACCAUCUUUUCAAAUCUAUCCUAUUUAUGCUUUUGUGUUCUUCCUAUUUUGACAUUUCACUUUCAACCGUAUUCUAAGAUUUUAAUUAAAGUGUAUUUAACCUCAAUCUUGAUAUGUGUACCAAGGUGUUGCAAUAUUAAUCUUCUAAUAUGGCUUAACAAUUCCUCUGGCUCAUUAUCAGAAUCUCAUCCAGCUUCUUAUCCUCUCACAGGCAAUCUUUGUCCAGAGAGAUUUUUAAGUCUUGACAAUAAUGAUGUAGUGUGGGGAGCAAGAUUUCUCAUAAUGAGUGGUUGUUUAAUUUGUAGCUGAGUGGCAUUUUCACUUCUUAGGUAUUGUACUGUUUGUCUAUGAAAAUCAGAAAGUCUGUCUCUGCACAGCACCACAGAAUGGGGUACAAGGACUGGGGGACGUUUGCAGCCUCUUCAAAUGCUUCAUAUAAUAACAAUAGAAAAAGCAUUCUGAAUUAGAUAGAAAGGUGUAACCUAUAUCUACUGUUCACAUGCUUCAGGUCUCUUUCUCAUCUGCUUCACCUUCUCCAUGCCAUUUUGUUUGUAAAGAUACAAUAUUUUUCACAUACUGAAAAAUAUAUUUUUGAAUGAAAACCAGUUCUUGUAUCUGUGAGUUGUAGACAAACAUUCAGCUCAUCUCAGUAUCUGCCAGUUCAGUGGCAGAAUGAACUCUAAUACUAAGUGUAACAACACUGUGGCAGACAAUUCCAUUAAAGACAAUAAUGCAUAUGUUUUAGAUGUUUGCAUACAUUGGCAGAAUUUGGCAUAUGCCUGUCCUAUCAGCCAGAGGUGGAAAAAGGACUGGAAAAAGGACAACAGAACUAAUUUUGUCAAGGACACAAGAGUAAUGUAUUUAGACAUAAUUUAAAAGAUUUGAAUGAUAUUAAUCCAAGCAGAGGACAGUUAAAUAUAAUAAAAGUAAAAACCCUGAAAAAUGAGUGUAAGAACUCAUUUAGUCUUUUUACUGAAACUACAACAGGCUGACUUACCAUAAGCUAAAAAAGAUGUCAUUGAAUUAUCAGCAUUUACCAGUUAUUAUUUGUGGUUUCCAAGAUGCUUCUGCCUCUCACCAUAUUCUGAAUGACUACAUUCAACUCCACGUAUAAUGAAGUUUUAAGUCUCAGACUAAUAAAAAAAAUAAAAAAUAACAGAUAUAUCUUACUAAAGUAGUGAGAAAUCCUGUUCAACUCAGGGGGUCUAAUUGUAGGAAUGAAGGACAUCAGAUCUGUCUCUAAAAAUAUACUGUGCAAAAUGGAAGAUUAGAGAAAACAGUUUGCUAAAAGGACUACUUCAAGUCAUUUCAGUGGUGGUGUUCUCUGGGGUAUAGUCUGUGUACCAGUAAAAAUCUCCAUGAUUUUUAGUAAUUCUAUUAAAGUAGCACAUCACCUCCAAAUAUUGAUAAAGAUUGGGCAGAUUCACUUCAGGAUGAACCCUGCAUACACACAUAUUUUCUGAAAUGUAAAUAGUUGGCACCUGCUGAGCCAUAAUCCCUAAAUCAGAAACACAAAUGUUUGGAUUAAUAAAAAAAUGGAAAGCCUCAUUCUUUCUUGUUGUCUUCUGAAUGCAUAUUUUUUCACUUUCAGUGUUAUGUGUAUGACUGGCAUGUUUUAUCCAGGACUAGAAAUUCAGCAUGGCUAUUUGCUGUAGUAACCACAAAGGACAGAGGUGAUAAAAUUCAAGCUAAUCCAAAACUUUCAAUGACUUACAUGGGUUUUAAAAUCAAGCCUUCAAUUCAAUAGUACAGAUAUGAUGCAGUGUGAAACAACUGAGAUUUGACACUCUUAAGAAUGAAAAUUAAAGGAUAAAUAUUUUAUCUCUUUAAAGAAGUAGUUCACUGUGAUACAUGAAAAAGUUGAAAAAAUGUGAAACUUAAACAUAUGUGUACUAUUAUUGAAAUCUGUUUGAUUUUUUUGCAUGCAUAAAGUUUUAGCAUUCUACUGCAUCCGAGACUAAAUUUUCAGUAAUGUUUGGGUUUUUAGCACAUGCCUGAAACUGCUGUCUUUCAUAUUUGAAGUGCAUAGGUAAGGAAUAGAGACUGCAGACAUACAGAUUAAUCCACUGUGCAAACUAAAGCUAUGAUUACAAGCAAACUGCUUAAACUCUGAUGCAGUUUGAAGGAAGAAAGUUUGAAAUCUUUUACCAACACUGUUUAUUAUUGGACAGGAUUGUGAUGUUUUAUUUGUUUUUGUUUUGUUCUGUUUUUGUUUUGGGGGGAUUCAAUACAGAAAUUGGAGGAGUGUGUUGGACUGCAGCUGGUGGUACUAAUUACCUGGGGCAAAGGAAGUUGUCUUUCCAUUAUGUUUUGUGCUGUUUUUCAGACCUUAUGGAUCCCAGAAGGUGAACCUAUAAUCAAGUCUUUACUGGGGGCUUCUUGGCAAGGCUAUCUCCAGCCACUGUUCCUGGCCUCAUAUAAGGUGUUCUAGAAAGGGGUUCCUCCAGCCGUGCAUCAGGACAAGGAACCAAGUGCUCCAGAGAGCCAAGUGAAUUGUUACCUGUCACAGCAUCCCCAUGUUCAUCUCUUAAUACUUGUGGGUGUGAUACAAACCACCUAAAAGAGAUUCACUGCCUCUUUUACAGCCCAGACUAGACAGUUUCCUGUGUUCCAUCAGUGCAGUUCUACUGCUGCACAUUUUGGUUUGGCUGAUUUUCUCCUGAGUUAGCCAGAAAAGCUGUAAUUUUGAGAAGGACACAGUGUCACUGUAGACAGUAAGCUGAAGAGUCGGAUGCUAUUUGAAGACAAAUGUAACACUUGGGAGACUUAAACAAUCACAAGGAAUUGAGGAAGAACUGUUUCUUCAUAUUUUUGUGACUUUACUGGAAAGUCAUGUGUCAAUAUAUGUUGAAAAGGAUGUUAAAAAUAAGAAAGGUGUACAUAAAAAGAAUUCUGAAACAAACAAAAAAAAGUUAGUGAAAAUACAUCAAGGGCAAGACACAAGAGAAGCUCUAUCUAUUGACUCAGUUUAGACGGAGAAGUCACCUGACUGCAGGUUAGCAGGACUUUAAUCAAGAAAAAAAAAUCUAAUGAGCAGCAAUUUGAAAUACAGCAUUUGGAAAGGUCAAAAUGGUACAUUACAUCCCUAUUAUCCAAAAGAACAGAUGAGUUUAAUAUCCUGACAGCAUUUUCCUGUGAAGAAGAUAUUAAACAAGAACUGAAAAUGGCACAAGGUUCCCUCUUCCUUUCUUUUGACAAAGACUGUAACAAGAUGAUGAAAUUGUACAGAAUAAAUCUCAUCCUGCUUUAAUGUUCAGAUUGGGGAUCCUGCCUAGAUUUCAAAAAUCUAAGCUAAUAAAAGAGACAAAACAUAUGUUAUUUGUUUCAGGUAUAUCCACAUGAAGCAGAAGACUUUUACUAUACAUUUUCCUACUUACAUGACCCAGUUUCCAUCAAUAUUUUCUAGAUUUAAAAAUAGGAAUAAUUGGUAACAGAAGGUACAUAAUGCAUCUAAUUUCAAGAAGUAAAGCAUUGAACUGCAACAGAUAAUGCACUGCAUCAAAACAGCUUAAAAUGUAAAUUUUUCAGCUUCCAUAUGAAAGACUGCAGAAUACAAAGAAUAAAUUCCAACACACAAUGCACUGUAUGUAUUCUGCUUUGGUGAGUCCUUGGCAGUGUGGAACUGUUUGAAGGCAAAGGAAUUUGCACUAUAUCCCGUUGAUUGUUAGCAAUUCAAUUAAUAUAUGGAACUGUCACGAUUUGUUGUCUUAAAUCUUGUUAAAUUGGCCCUCGUGUUAAAUCUUAUUAUUACAACCAAAAAAUGCUGUGCUUAAAAAUCAAAACAUGAGUAUACAGCACACACCUUUAUUAAUAUGACAUGCACUUGUAUUCAUUCCACAUGAGAUAUGAGAAGUCUGCUGUUACAUAAGAGCAUAACAAGUUAUAUAAUAAAGACAUUCAUGAUUAUUAAAGAAAAACAAAUUAUAUGAUUCCAAAAGAUACACAUCUUCAAGUAUAACUGGCUGAAGUAGACGUACAUGGCUUUGAAUAAGAACUCGUAAGUAGAAAUCAUACAGAACCUCUUUUUUUCUUCACCAUCUAGAGAAUACAUCUGAAAAAAUAUCUCUGUGGUGCUUUACGUGCAGUACCUUGCUGAGAAAACCCAUUCUGCUUUGGCCAAGAGAGAGAAAAUGAACAUGCCCAAAAUAUGUUUUUCAAGCCUUGAGUGGAAAAAAAAAUGUUUUUUGGGUUUUUUUUUUUUUCUUUUUCUUAGGUGAUCUUAUUUUCCACUAGAAAUUGUAGAUACAUCCUUUGUUUUGCAACUGAAAUGCAAGAUAGCUUUUUAAAAGUGUUGGCAAUGUGUGACCAAUUUUGAAACUUCAAAGGUUUUGCAAAACUAUAGAAAAGAAGAUCCCUGAAGGGUGCUAAUUUCCAUAGGCAUUUAUGAAAUGAGUGUUUUCCAUGUAUCUAAAAGAAAUCCACUGGAUAACAUUUAAAGUUUAUAGAGAGUUCCUUGUGAUUUAGUUAAUAGCUCCUGAAACUAAAAUGACAACAAAUAGCUCUUUUCUGUUUCCCAACCAGAAAUACGAGCAGAGUAUGAAGCGUCCAGAAAAUAAUAAGCAAAACUGUUUUUCAGUGAAUUAUUGUUCAUAGUUCAGAUCCAUGGAUUUUUAUCAUGCAAAUUACAAAGAAUUCAGACCAUAUAUAAUUCUGCUAUUAAGAAAUAAAUUAUAUGCUGUUGUUAUCCGACUUUUGAAAAUCAGUAUGGAAUGACUGAGUAGAGAACCCAGCCUACUGAGGAGAGUCUCAUCAUGUAAUGGCACAAACAACUUCAGCAAUUCUUAGAGAGUGAGUACCAAAUAUCUGUAGAAGACAGUGGCAUUUGUUACACUUUCUUUCAGUUUGCUCCUGACUAUGCAAAAUGCUGUUACUGCGUCACACACUAUUUAACAUCGGAACUACCUUGAAUACAUUAGGCAGGUUUAUUUAGUUAUUUCAUGAAAUAGAUUUUUUCCAGUAGGUGAUCACAGUAAAUCUGUUUUGAAAAAUUACCAAAAUAAUCAAGUGUAUCUUGUGAACCAAUAUACCAGUUUGUAGUGAAAUUUUAAGAGGUACUUACUUCCCUUACUUACCUUCAAUAAAUCAGAUGGUGGUUGGGCAUUGCCGUGAAAUCUUUCACUAAUGAAGGAAGGACGUUAAGAAUAAAAUCUGACUGUAAAAUGUUGGACCUGCGAAACCAUAAAUUACAUCUCAAAGCAAGGGAUAUUCCUUAAAUUAAUGGCAGAUUUAAAAUAAUAAUUCAGCUGAUGGAAAAUGUUUUGAAUUGAAACAAGAUCCUAAAAGUGAGAAGUCAAAACACAGCUGACCAUGUGCAGCACACACAUUCCCACACACUUGGCUUUGUUCCAGGAGGAGCUGGUUUAUUGUAAUCCCAGUAAGAAAGGUACCAUGAUGCAUUGCUUAAAAUACAACUUACUACAGCUAAUACUGUACCGAAAAUGAGUGCAUUACACAUAGUUGUUUGUUCCUUUGGAUACUGGGAACCCCGUGAUGGGACUCCAAGCAGGGCACAGCAUCCUGUGCAGAACUUCUGCAUAGAAAAGCUACCCAGUAUUCUAGUCUUUUGAGUGCUUCUAGGGCUUUCCUAACAGAAAAUAAUUCUGCUUACCAUUUCUACUGUCAAACUAAGAAGAUGUGCAUGUGGGAAUUUGUCACUGCUAUUUCACAUAAAGGCAAGGAGAAGCAGGUGAUGCAAUUGACAGUACCAUGUGGGAGCUGCCCAUAGGCUGCUUUGUUAUCCAGUGAGGUCUGUCCUGCAAAGAGCAGAUGCACAGCCCACAGCACAGACUUGAAGGUUGAGCACAGUGUGGAACAUAGUGCAGAUCUGCCCCUGCAGAGGGAAACUGCUAUGUGGAUCACUAAUUCCUCCAUGUUUGAUGGUCUUCAGGUCAGGAUCUCUGCACAUAUAUGCAUACAUACCUGUUUUAUAUCUGCAUUCUUUUGUGCUCCAUAGUGAUGCAUUGUAUUCAAAUCUAUCCACAUUCAAAAUCUGCACGUCUAUUGCAAAUGCUCCUUUAUUCAUGUCUCUGUGUCCAUCAAGCUGGAAUUGUGCAGGAACUCAGAUGGGCUUAUAAUUACACAAUUUGUACCUCCAAAGGCUUUUAAAAGUCUAUGUAGGUAUAUUUUUGCAAGCAUGAUUGUUGUGCCUGCAGCUCAAAAUCUGGUUAUACUUGCAUUUGAGUUUGUUUUGUUUAGUAACACAAUGCUACUCGAUAUUACAUGAAUAAAUCAUCUAUAAGCUAGAAAACACAUCAAAAUCGGAGGAACAAAGUCAGUUGCAUUAUUAAAGAGAGAAAAUAAUUUGACAUGAAAGGCGUUUUAGAGACAAUACAGCCUGUCUGAUUUACUGAUGUGCACGGAAACUAAUAUAUCAUUCAGCCUUGCUACCACAUGACAGCUGUUCUGCAUCUGAUGGGAAAUGUGAUGGUGCUCACAGUCCAGUUCAUACUGGACAGGUGUUGACAUCACAAAAAUCAUCAUCAGAACUGGCACUAAUUGGCACCUUUGUUGACAGCCUCAUCAGAGAGGCCAGUGAUUGAAUCAGCAUGGAUGCUGCCUUGCAAGCUCCGCUGGUAAGGGAUACUGGGCUCAGCUCUUCCUUCACUGAAAUCAUCCUGAGUUUUGCACAUACUUCAGCUCCUGAUGCAAUUUGCCUGUAAAUUCUGUAUGCAUACACACUGCCAUGGCAUACACGUUGAAGUGAUGCCCCCAUACAUAGUGGGCACUGAAACCUGUCCUCCGAAUUUGGCCAACAUAAGAGACCGGAGGCUUAGGUUUGUGAGGAAACAAGACCAAAGCAGGUGGAACCAAAGACUGCUGAUGUUGCAGUCACAUAUCACCCACUAAGAGCUCCAUUCUCACCCAGGCUUUUAUCAAUUUUAGUUUAAUUUAAAUGGAACUGUGGGUUGGUGGACUUCUACUAGCCACUUUACUCCUCCAUGCCUCAGUUUAUUCUUUCACAUGAGGGUCAUAAUGUUUGUCUCAGUCUCAGAUAUAGUUAGGUGUUGCUAAUUAAAGAAUUCCUUAAAGAAUUUUAACAGGUUUGAUGGAAGGCAAUAGACACAUUAAAACUCAGGCUUCACAUUUAUAGGAACACUGGUUUCUUUAUAAUGCCUUUGAAUUGUAGGCAGUUACUAUUGCAUGCAUCCUUUUUGCAUUUAACCAUCUUUCCAUUCACUCUGUUGAAUAUUAAGUUUUUUCUCCUCUCAGCCUGGAUUGUUCAAAUUAGUGCUUAAAAUUAAUUUUUCUUUGGUAUACAGAAACCUAUAUUGUUUGUGGGUUAAUUAUCACUUUUUUUUUAGCUCUAGAGAAAUGCAAUAUAGGUCAAUAAUGUGACUGAAUAAUUUGAGAAUAUUUUUAUGGCAAUAAAAAGAAGUAAAAAAUGUGUGAUAAUUUUGAUCAUAUUUAAUAGCAGUAACUAAAGUAUAUAGAGAUUAUUAGAGCUCACUAGUGCAAUUUUUCAGAGAAGGAUGAAAGGGAGAAAGAGAAUGAGAAGGAAGGAAAUGAAGGAAAGAAGAAACGAAGAAAGAAUGAUAGAAAAAAGUAUAAAGGUCAGGAAAAAUAAAUAAAAUUUUAAAAUAAAUAAAUAAAUAAAUAAAUAAAUAAAAGAACUGUUCCAGUUUCAUGUGUAUGGAAAAGAAUUUGUUGGACAAGGAAAUGUCAGUAUGUAGAUGUAGUGGAAAUGCAAGUCAUGUCUUGAAGCAGUGAUUGAGCACCUGGUGGAAAGACGGGCCACCCCAGGGGAGCUCAGGUGCAUGCAAUGCUGCUGAGUGACCGGGAGGAGUGGAGCCAGGAUCCACCUCUUCCCAAACCACAUUUAAGUGCUGGCAAAGAAAAUGAGGGGAUCUCACUGGAGAUCUCUAUGUACAUGAAAUCUUCAGAAGGUAAGCAGAG
rnacentral:lncRNA from 1 species